rnacentral:rRNA from 1 species
UCGCAUGCUCCCGGCCGCCAUGGCGGCCGCGGGAAUUCGAUUAGAGUUUGAUCAUGGCUCAGAACGAACGCUGGCGGCAUGCCUAACACAUGCAAGUCGAACGAAGGCUUCGGCCUUAGUGGCGCACGGGUGCGUAACGCGUGGGAAUCUGCCCCUUGGUUCGGAAUAACAGUUAGAAAUGACUGCUAAUACCGGAUGACGACGUAAGUCCAAAGAUUUAUCGCCGAGGGAUGAGCCCGCGUAGGAUUAGCUAGUUGGUGUGGUAAAGGCGCACCAAGGCGACGAUCCUUAGCUGGUCUGAGAGGAUGAUCAGCCACACUGGGACUGAGACACGGCCCAGACUCCUACGGGAGGCAGCAGUGGGGAAUAUUGGACAAUGGGCGAAAGCCUGAUCCAGCAUGCCGCGUGAGUGAUGAAGGCCUUAGGGUUGUAAAGCUCUUUUACCCGGGAUGAUAAUGACAGUACCGGGAGAAUAAGCUCCGGCUAACUCCGUGCCAGCAGCCGCGGUAAUACGAAUCACUAGUGAAUUCGCGGCCGCCUGCAGGUCGACCAUAUGGGAGAGCUCCCAACGCGU